rnacentral:rRNA from 1 species
UACGUAGGGUGCGAGCGUUAAUCGGAAUUACUGGGCGUAAAGCGUGCGCAGGCGGUUUUCCAAGACAGAUGUGAAAUCCCCGGGCUCAACCUGGGAAUGGCAUUUGUGACUGGAAGGCUAGAGUGUGUCAGAGGGGGGUAGAAUUCCACGUGUAGCAGUGAAAUGCGUAGAGAUGUGGAGGAAUACCGAUGGCGAAGGCAGAUCUCUGGGCCGUAACUGACGCUGAGGAGCGAAAGCGUGGGGAGCGAACAGG